GACGAACGCUGGCGGCGUGCCUAAUACAUGCAAGUUGAGCGCUGAAGGUUGGUACUUGUACCGACUGGAUGAGCAGCGAACGGGUGAGUAACGCGUGGGGAAUCUGCCUUUGAGCGGGGGACAACAUUUGGAAACGAAUGCUAAUACCGCAUAAAAACUUUAAACACAAGUUUUAAGUUUGAAAGAUGCAAUUGCAUCACUCAAAGAUGAUCCCGCGUUGUAUUAGCUAGUUGGUGAGGUAAAGGCUCACCAAGGCGAUGAUACAUAGCCGACCUGAGAGGGUGAUCGGCCACAUUGGGAAUGAGACACGGCCCAAACUCCUACGGGAGGCAGCAGUAGGGAAUCUUCGGCAAUAGACGAAAGUCUGACCGAGCAACGCCGCGUGAGGGAAGAAGGUUUUCGGAUCGUAAAACUCUGUUGGUAGAGAAGAACGUUGGUGAGAGUGGAAAGCUCAUCAAGUGACGGUAACUACCCAGAAAGGGACGGCUAACUACGUG
rnacentral:rRNA from 1 species